rnacentral:lncRNA from 1 species
CACAGAAGGAGUUGAGUGAUGGUAGAUAUCAGGCCCUGGUCUGCGGCUUGGAAGUUUCCUGUGAAUAAGAAAAACAUCAUCGCUUCUUGAGUCACAAGGAUGAUAGGAUGAGAAAAAGAAAGGACAAAGGCACCAGAGGAGGAACCAGACACUGGAACAUGUCGUCUGAUGUACAUCACACCAAGAAAUAAAAAAAGAAUUGGAAAGCCAAUGUCCAAUUAUUUACUAAAACAGAAUCCACUGGAGAGAAAUGCAAAGGCAGGUAAAAAGGCAAUCUCUUAACAUGAAAACUCACAACUGUAAAAUGAGAACCUAAACUAUACAGCGACAAACUCAGGAAAAAGUCUCCAGCUACUGCUGUCUCUCAGACUCUCACAGUAUGUGUAACCACUUCCUCCUCUGCACGGAAUCACCCCAGAAGAUCAACUCUACUAGAUCAUUUGAGGACAAUGAACAAAGUCUCAAGACUGAAUUCCCACAGAAAACAUUCUCAUGAAACCACCCAAUAUUCUGGUGAAGUUAAAGAAGGGCAUGUGUUCGGAGACAACCAGAAGCAGCAAUGCUCAAAACCACAAAACUCUGGAUUGCCGACUCUGCACAUCCUGGUUCCUCUAGAUACAGUUCAGUGGCACAUUCACAAAUAAACGUUUUCAAAAACUGCCCUCAGGCAGUUCUAGAGAAAUGCUUUGACUUGCCUAAUGGUAUAAUGUCAAGAAAGGAAGACGAGCACUGAUCAUUCAUACUCAUUAUUACAGUCACAGGGCACUGUCUGACUUGACAGAUACAGCCGAGCAGUUAAAAGGUUAUGGGAAUUUAAGUCCAUUAUGGUCAUACGAUUCUUAUGGACCCAGAGAUAUGAAAUUAAUCAGCCACAUGUGUAGGGACAAAGUUUGUCAUAAAUAGAUAUAAGUUAUCUGCAUGCUAAGAACUUAGUUACUUAACUCUGUUUCCUCAUGUUAAUAUAAACAUAAUUAUAGAAUGCAAAUGAAAUACUUAGCCUGGAGCCUAUUAUAUAGGAAGCACUCAAUAAUUUCAAACUAUUGAGUAUAUUAUUAGAUAGGCUCCAUAAUUAUUUAUUCCUUUUUCAACAGACAGUAUGAUCUAUUGAAAAUAAAGCCAAACUAGAUUUCUUUGACCCACUCCUUUUUCUGUUUGUAUUGUUGGCAAGUUGUUCUAAAUCAACUUGCCAACAUACUAUUAACAUGUUAUUAACAUAGAAGGGAUGCUUAUUUUGUUUGCUUUGUAAGAAAUGCUUCUGAUUCAGUAACUGGGCAAUUUAUUUAAAUAUAAGUAAAAAGCAGAUUUUAUUAAAAACUACUUUGUGCUAUCAUAAAUAA